UACGUAGGGUGCAAGCGUUGUCCGGAAUUAUUGGGCGUAAAGGGCUCGUAGGCGGUUUGUUGCGUCGGCUGUGAAAUCCCGAGGCUCAACCUCGGGUCUGCAGUCGAUACGAGCAAACUAGAGUGUUGCAGGGGAGACUGGAAUUCCUGGUGUAGCGGUGAAAUGCGCAGAUAUCAGGAGGAACACCGGUGGCGAAGGCGGGUCUCUGGGCCGUAACUGACGCUGAGGAGCGAAAGCAUGGGGAGCGAACAGG
rnacentral:rRNA from 1 species